rnacentral:rRNA from 1 species
GGGCCCGCACAAGCGGUGGAGCAUGUGGUUCAAUUCGACGCAACGCGAAGAACCUUACCUGGGCUCGAAGCGCAGUGGACCGGGGUAGAAAUAUCCCUUCCCCUUAAAAGGCUGCUGCGGAGGUGCUGCAUGGCUGUCGUCAGCUCGUGUCGUGAGAUGUUGGGUUAAGUCCCGCAACGAGCGCAACCCUUAUCCCUAGUUGCCAUCGGGUCAAGCCGGGCACUCUAGUGAAACUGCCUCGGAUAACGAGGAGGAAGGUGGGGAUGACGUCAAGUCCUCAUGGCCUUUAUGUCCAGGGCUACACACGUGCUACAAUGGUCGGUACAAACCGUCGCAAACCCGUGAGGGGGAGCUAAUCGGAAAAAGCCGGCCUCAGUUCGGAUUGGAGUCUGCAACUCGACUCCAUGAAGCUGGAAUCGCUAGUAAUCGCGGAUCAGAACGCCGCGGUGAAUACGUUCCCGGGCCUU